rnacentral:tRNA from 1 species
GCCGGAAUAGCUCAGUUGGUAGAGCGGCGCAUUCGUAACGCGUAGGUCGCAGGUUCGACUCCUGUUUCCGGCACCA